rnacentral:rRNA from 1 species
AUGUCCCCACUAUGGAAAGCCCCCGUCCCUUUAAAGAUUAAGAUUUUUGUUUGGCAACUUCUACAGGAUCGCCUUCCCUCGGGGACAGAGGUACUUAAGUGGCACGGACCUGGUGAUGGUCUAUGCCCUCUCUGUGCGGUACCAGAGACCGGGACACAUAUCCUCUUCUCGUGUACCGUAGCAAGGGUACUUUGGACGUAUGUCCGCGAGGUGUUGGGGCCUGAAUGGGAGGCCCUAAAUCUCGCGGAGUUUCUCCAACAUAGAGCUCUUUAA